rnacentral:tRNA from 1 species
GCUUCCGUAGCUCAGUCGGUAGAGCGCCGCUCUCGUAAAGCGGUGGCCGCAGGUUCGAGCCCUGCCGGAAGCU